rnacentral:rRNA from 1 species
AAAUUGCGUGCGCGCGAGUCUUGGGUGUAAACCUAAAGGCGCAAUGAAAGUGUCAGGGGGGCCUCCUUUAGGAGCGUCUCCCGCGGGGAGGAUGGGCUUCCGUACAAUUACUUGUCGGAGCCCCGCACUCCCGGGGCGUCUCGUUCUCGUUACGAGUGGAGACGCACCAGGAGCGCACACGCUGGUACCCGAAAGAUGGUGAACUAUGCCUGGCCAGGACGAAGCCAGGGGAAACCCUGGUGGAGGUCCGAAGCGAUUCUGACGUGCAAAUCGAUCGUCUGAGCUGGGUAUAGGGGCGAAAGACCAAUCGAACUAUCUAGUAGCUGGUUCCUUCCGAA